GACGAACGCUGGCGGUGUGCUUAACACAUGCAAGUCGAACGGUAAGGCCCUUUCGGGGGUACACGAGUGGCGAACGGGUGAGUAACACGUGAGUAACCUGCCCUCAUCUCUGGGAUAACAGUCGGAAACGGUUGCUAAUACUGGAUAUGAGCUUGCAAGGCAUCUUGUGGGUUGGAAAGAUUUUUUUGGUUGGGGAUGGACUCGCGGCCUAUCAGCUUGUUGGUGAGGUAGUGGCUCACCAAGGCUUCGACGGGUAGCCGGCCUGAGAGGGCGACCGGCCACAUUGGGACUGAGAUACGGCCCAAACUCCUACGGGAGGCAGCAGUGGGGAACAUUGCACAAUGGACGGAAGUCUGAUGCAGCAACGCCGCGGGCGGGAUGACGGCCUUCGGGUUGUAAACCGCUUUCAAUUGUGACGAAGCUUUUUGUGACGGUAGCAGUAGAAGAAGCACCGGCUAACUACGUG
rnacentral:rRNA from 1 species